rnacentral:rRNA from 1 species
AACACAUGCAAGUCGAGGGGUAACGGAAGUAGCUUGCUACUAGACGACGACCGGCGCACGGGUGAGUAACGCGUAUGUAAUCUGCCUUGUACAGAGGGAUAGCCCAGAGAAAUUUGGAUUAAUACCUCAUAGUAUUACCGAAUCGCAUGAUUUGGUAAUUAAAGCUCCGGCGGUACAAGAUGAACAUGCGUGACAUUAGCUAGUUGGUAAGGUAACGGCUUACCAAGGCCACGAUGUCUAGGGGUUCUGAGAGGAUGAUCCCCCACACUGGUACUGAGACACGGACCAGACUCCUACGGGAGGCAGCAGUGAGGAAUAUUGGUCAAUGGACGCAAGUCUGAACCAGCCAUCCCGCGUGAAGGAUGACUGCCCUAUGGGUUGUAAACUUCUUUUAUAUGCAAAUAAACCUACUUUCGUGAAAGUAGCUGAAGGUAGCAUAUGAAUAAACACCGGCUAACUCCGUGCCAGCAGCCGCGGUAAUACGGAGGGUGUAAGCGUNAUCCGGAUUUAUUGGGUUUAAAGGGUACGUAGGCGGUAAUAUAAGUCAGUGGUGAAAUCCUGCAGCUCAACUGUAGAACUGCCAUUGAAACUGU